UGAAUAAUCCUUUUAAGAAAAAGAUCGGCUUAAGAUCUGGCCCCCUUCAAAUUACAUUCAAGCCGAACUGAUUGCAGAACAGAAAAUAUGAAAGCAUCGGUGAAUUUCUGCGUUGACAAAGUUCACCUUUUAGAUUUGUUAGCUUGCUUUCUUCUGCAGUUGGCUUUAGCGAGCAAAGCAUGAAGCAGCUCUUUCUGUGCCGAUUCGAGCUAUUUCCACCGUUAUUUGUUCGCGCCUGUUGUUGCUAGCAUAAUAGAUGUACUACUAAAAUAUUAAAAAAGGAAAUGUAGUGGAAGUGAUUUGUAUGUUGUAAUACUACACUGAAAAACCGAAAGAUGUCGACAGUUGCUUCCGAAUGAAGUUGUGCUGUUUUGUUAAUUUAGUCAUUUUGAUUUACAAUAAAUGUAGGACUGAGAUGUUUUC